rnacentral:rRNA from 1 species
UACGGAGGGUGCGAGCGUUGUCCGGAAUCACUGGGCGUAAAGGGCGCGUAGGUGGCGCGAGUAGUCAACGGUGAAAGCCCGGGGCUCAACCCCGGGUCGGCCGUCGAUACUCUCGUGCUUGAGCACUGUAGAGGCAGGUGGAAUUCCUGGUGUAGCGGUGAAAUGCGUAGAUAUCAGGAGGAACACCGGUGGUGUAGACGGCUUUCUGGACCGUAACUGACGCUGAGACACGAAAGCGUGGGUAGCAAACAGG